UUCACAUGAUAGAACAUUGCUCAAGCUGUAACAACAGAAAGAAGGAAAAAACACAAACUCCAACAUAUCUAAAUGGAAAUGAGAAUAUUUCUGCCUGUGGAGAGGACAGUUUGAACAUUGUGGCUUUUAAAUUAUUGAGAGAGCCCUGGGAGUUACCAAAUACAGACUCAAUCAUGUGAACAGUAAACAAAGAAAGAAAAUUUUGCAGCACUCAUGCUUCAUAUCUGGUCCCCUCUCACUUUGGAAAAAUAUAGCUGAAGUUUCUUGUUUAUUACACAAUUUGUUUGGCAAGUUUUCCUCUUGUGUUUGGUGUUGGACAGUCUGUAGUUUCCUCACUUCAGUUUGAGCAAACUGUUAUUUUUAUUUAAAACACUAAUUAUCCACAUGAAAUUCUUUCUUUUUCAUACAGGCUUUAAAAUUUUAUUUUAUUUUUUAGAUAGGUAAUAUAGUCAUCUGUUCAUAAAACAAAAUUGUAUAAAAAGGAUUACAAUGAAAAGUCUAUUCCAUCAUUAGAACCAAAUUUAAAAACUAAAGACUUGCGCUUUCACUGUCAUUGGCCCAAGUUCGAUCCCNNNNNNNNNNNNNNNNNNNNNNNNNNNNNNNNNNNNNNNNNNNNNNNNNNNNNNNNNNNNNNNNNNNNNNNNNNNNNNNNNNNNNNNNNNNNNNNNNNNAAACUAAAGACUUGCGCUUUCACUGUCGUUGGCCCAAGUUCGAUCCCUGACUGGGGAAAUAAGGUCCCACAAGCUACACAGCAAGGCCAUAAACUAUUAGUCAUAUGGUGAUUGCAAAACAAACAAACAAAAGUAAAAUAAAGUAAAAAUAAAAAUUUAAAAACAAAAACAAAAAACAAACAAACAAACAAACAAAUGAAAAACCCACCCGUGCCUGAAUCCAGUUUGCUCCCACAUCCUCAAUCAUUUUAUUAGUUUCUCAUUUAUUCCAAAGAUUUUUCAUUCAAAUACAAGGUAAUAAGGAUGUGUCCUUUUUUUUCCCCCCUUUGCUACAGAAAAGUGAGCCUAGACACACUGUUCUGGGCCUCGCUGUCUUUGUGGAACCACAUAUCUUGGAGGAUUUCCACUUCUGUGAAUGGCAUCGCAUGUUUAUAGCGGCAUAGUAUUCCAUUGUUUGAACGUACAUGAGAUGUUUAACUAUCCUCCCUUGUUGGAUGUUUGACCUGUUUCAACACACAGUGGUGGAACCGAAAACUUCAAACAUAUCAUCUUGCACAAGGGAAAAAAUGUCUAUUAAGACAAAUACCCAAAGGUGGGCUUGCCAAGUCAAAGGGUAAAUGCAGUUGUAAUUUUGAUUGUUAGUGUUGAGUUAUUCUCCAAGGAGUUGUACCAAUUUACACUCCCACUAGCAACAUAUGCACGUGCCUGAAGGCAAACCUAAGACUUUUAUCAAUCCGAUAGGUGACAAAUGGUAUCUUAAUACAGUUUCAACUUGCAUUCAUUUGAUUAUGAGGAUUUUUGAGCAUCUCUUCAUAAGUUUUAGGAACCAUUGACAUGUCUCUUUCUAUAUUUUUUAAAAUUUAGUUAUGAUUUGCCAUUUAAAGGAGUCCUCUCUGUAUUCGGGAUGUUCUCAUUUGUACUAUGAGCUGAAGAGCUCUUUCCUGGUUUGUUGUUUUGUGUUUGCAUAUAUUUCUGGUGAAUAGUUUUUCCAUGAAGAAUUUUUGAUUUUUACUUUAAUCUUUUAGGGAGUCUGCAGUUUGAAUCAUAGAAAAGAACUUCCCUAUUCAAAUAUUGUAAAGAAAUUUAUUAUUGUGUUUUUUAAGUAAUAGUAUGGUUUUAUUGUUUUACAUUUAAACUUCUGGUUCAUUUGAAAUUUAUAGCAGUGAACAGUGUGAGGUAGAGAGUCAGCUUUUUUCCCUGUUAUUUAUCCAAUUGUAUCAGUGGUAAUUAAAGUUCAUGUUUCUAGUGUCCUUAAAUAUGAAUUUUAAAUGUCUGGCUAAAUGUAAUGAGGUUUUGUCAUUUUCAAAGCUAAUAUUCAUAAAAGGGUCUAGAAAAGUAUUCACUGAAGAUGGCAGCAAAAAAUGUGAGUUUGUUCUUGGGAGUCUGUCUUUAGAUAAACAGUAAACAGAUGAACACAAAUGUAGAAAGUUUUAUAGGGAAAAUGUUAGGUUAUGUUAAGAAAGUAUCACUGUGGCUUUUUAUUGUUUUCCUUUGACAGAUGUAAAGCAAUGAUUACACAGGGGACUUGGAGGAAAUAACUAUUUUCAUUAUAAGUAAAUGAAUAGCCUAAAACAAAAUUCGAUACAAAGUGACUCAGUGAGAUUUCCAGACCCCACACCCUAAUCUAUGGAAUUANNNNNNNNNNNNNNNNNNNNNNNNNNNNNNNNNNNNNNNNNNNNNNNNNNNNNNNNAUAAAGCAGAUGGGCCUGCAAAAGUCAGUGAACUUAUAUCUAGGGACUUCUGAUUUCUGCCAAAGUAAGGGCAGAAGCCAAGUAAGCCAAGUUUAGAACCCCAGAGCUGGAAAGAAUGUGAUGGCAUGACUGAGCCCAGCCCAUUGUGUUUAUUCUAAUUAAAGGAUAUGAAAGUAUUGGUCCCUUCAAAAUCUCAGAAACCCACAAGUGCCAUCAAAAGCUCAAUUUCAAAGUCGCCACCCCAACAAUCAAGAAUUCUUGUCUUUCCACAAAUGAUCUGUCUGGCUUUAGUUUGAAUCACUUUCUUUUGGAUAAACUCUACCCCAAGAAAAGAAAAAGGAACAACUAUUCCUUGAGCUUUGAGGAUAUGCCAAGCAGUUCACAUACCUUAAUCUUUUAUUUGAUCUUUCCACAAACCUCGUGAAGUAGAUACUAUGGUCUCAUAUUACAGUUAAGAAAGCCAAGGUUUGGAGAGAUCAUGUAACUAGUCCAAGGGCACCCAGUAAAUGCUAGAAUAAGUAUUUGGGACCUGAUUUGUUAUCUUGCCAUAGAGAAUAAAAUGAUUGAUCAGGAUCUCUCCUUCAAACAAUACCUGUGAUCAUUUGAAGAUAAAGUAAUAGAGGAAAUUUUAGCCUUAUGUAUUUAAUUUAAUUCUUGUAAAUACUGUUUUAGACCAUAAAAGCCUGUUUUUUGAAAGCAUGCCUCCUACCUUAUCUCUCUCCAUCUCUUCAGCUGCUUGGAGUUUCCUCAACGUACACCUCAGUGCCUGACUGUAGUACUCUAAUCUAUGGGUAUAUUGCCUGCCUUUGCAGCCAAGAUAGCAGUUUCUCCAGGGCAUGUGCUUGGUCUCUCCUCUCCACUAUAUCCCCAGGGCUGGGAACACUGGAAGUGCUCAGUUGAUAUUUGCUGAAGGAAUAACUGAAACUGAUUUUUUUUUUUCUUUAAUGGCUGCAUUGGGUCUUCAUUGCAGUGCUUGAGGGCUUUUUCCAGGUUUGAAGAGCAGGGGUUAUUAUACCCCACUGUGGUGUGCAGGCCUUUGAUUGCGCUUCUCUUAUUGUGGAGCACACGCUGUAGGUGUGCAGGCUUCAGGAGGUGCAGCAUGUGGGCUCAGUAGUUGUGGCUUGAAUGCCCUAGAGCCUGCAGGCUUCAGUAGUCGCAGCUCGCAGGUUUAGUUGCUCGGCGGCAUGUGGAAUCCUCCAGGACCUGUGUUCCCCACACUGGCAGGUGGAUUUCCAUCCACUGUGCCGCCAGGGAAGUCCUGGGACUGAACUCUUUACUAGUACUGACUUGCUUUCUUUACAACUGCCCAGGUUUGAGAUUUUGUUUUGUUUUCAAAUUUUAGGCAUAUAGCUGGAUGUUUGGUUUAGUAGCUAAUUUAGUAACCUGCUAACUGGAAUCUCCUUGCUCCGCUCCAUGGGAGAAUGAAGAUCUGCAGGAAGCAGAGUUUUGAAAAUCAUUUUCAUCAUAUUUCAGCCUUCUUCUCUUGAGGCAUGACACUAAUAUCCUUCUGGUCUUACUUUUUUCCUGUCUAUAUUAGUCUCCUCUCUCUCCAUUACACACAGUCUAGAACACUGUCAUCCACUGAAGAUACUCUGUCAGGGAGUAUAAUUUGUGUUUCAUAAGGUAUCUCAUUAAAUCAUUCCCCGAAUCUCAAUGAAGUGCCUUAUCCCCAUUUUUUAUAUAGGAACACUGAAGUUUGAAGAGAUUACUAUCACCUGUUCAAGCAGUUGGCACUGGGCUAGGACUCAAGCCCAGAAUUUAUUCAACCUAAACUCCAUUUAAAUCCCAAGCUUUCCUCUCAGCAUCUAUGUAGGAGAAACCUAAUUGGCUAUAACAUCUU
ensembl:lncRNA